rnacentral:rRNA from 1 species
GACGUAGGGCGCGAGCGUUGUCCGGAUUUAUUGGGCGUAAAGAGCUCGUAGGCGGCUUGUUACGUCGGCUGUGAAAUCCCGCGGCUCAACUGCGGGUCUGCAGCCGAUACGGGCAGGCUAGAGUUCGGUAGGGGAGACUGGAAUUCCUGGUGUAGCGGUGAAAUGCGCAGAUAUCAGGAGGAACACCGGUGGCGAAGGCGGGUCUCUGGGCCGAUACUGACGCUGAGGAGCGAAAGCGUGGGGAGCGAACAGG